ACUUUAGAGGAUGUGUACAUACGUAUACACACAUGCACACACGGAACCACAAAUCCACGGUUGACUAAUCUGAUAUGACAAAGCCUGUGAUGGAUUUGGCUCAUGUUAAUUCACACAAUGCCCUUUCCUCCAGAAUUUAACUCUAAGUUAAUACACACCGGAAACCGCGAGCAUACACGCUCGUUAAUGGGUUUAGGUAUUAGAGACUUCUAACGAUGCAUACAAAUGUGCUUUGCUCUCCAUAGGCCCCUUAAGAUUUAUGGGCCUUGGGCUUCUCUGAAUCUGUAAACAAGGAGAAAAAAAGAGGGAGAGAGACAGGGAGAGAGAGAGAGACAGAGGCCUCACUCGUCCCUCCAGGUUGUGAAAGAGAGAAUAGAUCUGCAAAUUCGGUUCUUAUCUAUUUUUCUUUACUUAGAUAUGUGGUUAGGCCUGCUUUCACAUCUCUCCGUGGCUGUGUAUUGGUGUUGGGGCCUGUGGUCAUGGUGUGUGCAGAAGCCGAGCCUACUUCAUUAAAGAAGAAAAGAUCAUUUCUCCCCGGAUAAUCCCAACAUACCCCUCGUAUUCUUCAGGUACAAUUCUCCUAGAAUCCUUUUUUUCCCCCCGGCUGGGGAGGGGAGGGGGCUGGAGGCAACCGGAGAGAUUUGGUUAUCAGAACAGAAUUGUGGUAUGAGGAUACCCUAAUAUUUCGAGCACACCGAACACCUCUUUAAAAUACACUUACAUACACACAAAAAUAAAUAAAAAAUAAAUAACA
ensembl:lncRNA